CACUCUGGUUCGUUUCCCUCCUUGGCAGGGUGUAGGCUGGCGCGGCUGCGGUGGGUGCGGAGGCUGCGAUGGCGCUGCCCGAGUGGCACAUCGCGGUGAAGCUGGCGGAUCAGCCCCUGGCUCCCAAAUCCAUCCUGCACUUGCCAGAGACAGAGUUGGGGGACUGCCCGCUCGGGGGGUGCAGCAUCUCCUACCUCAAGCAGCUCAUCACAGGCAAGCUGCAGGAGUCCGUCCCCGACCCCGAGCUCAUCGAUCUGAUCUACUGUGGCCGUAAGCUGAGGGAUGACCAGACACUUGAUUUUUAUGGCAUCCAGUCGGGCUCCACCGUUCAUGUCCUGCGCAAGUCCUGGCCUGAGCCUGACCAGAAACCAGAGCCUGUGGAUAAGGUGGCAGCAGUCCGGGAGUUCCGGGUGCUUCACACUGCCCUGCACAGCAGUCCUGCCUACAGAGAUGCAGUCUUCAAGAUGCUGGGGAACAAGGAGUCACUGGAUCAGAUCAUUGUAGCUACUCCCGGCCUCAGUAGUGACCCUGUUGCUUUGGGAGUCCUGCAGGACAAGGAUCUCUUUUCAGUGUUUGCAGACCCCAACAUGCUGGACACGCUAAUCCCAGCUCACCCUGCCCUGGUGAAUGCCAUCGUCCUUGUCCUGCACUCGGUGGCUGGCAGCACCCCGCUCCCAGCCCCGGACACAUCCUCCCGGGGCAUGUCCUCUGGCUCCUACCGGGACAUGCCAGGUGGCUUUCUGUUCGAAGGUCUCUCUGAUGAUGAAGAUGACUUCCAUCAGAGCACCAGAUCCACACCAUCCAGCAGCACCUCUGGUUCCCGCCCGGCUUCCCUUGGCUACACUGGGGCUGCUGGGCCCCGGCCCAUCACCCAGAGCGAGCUGGCCACCGCGCUGGCACUGGCGAGCACCCCAGAGAGCAGCUCCCACACACCCACUCCUGGCACCCAGGGUCAUUCCUCUGGGACCUCCCCAAUGUCAUCCAGUGUCCAGUCAGGAACACCCAUCACCAAUGACCUCUUCAGCCAGGCCUUACAGCAUGCCCUGCAAGCCUCGGGGCAGCCCAGCCUGCAGAGCCAGUGGCAACCACAGCUUCAGCAGCUGCGAGACAUGGGCAUCCACGAUGACGAGCUGAGCCUCCGAGCCCUGCAGGCCACUGGAGGAGACAUUCAGGCUGCCCUGGAGCUCAUCUUUGCUGGUGGAGCUCCCUAGCUUCUUGGGCAGGAGAAGCUGCACUGGCAAACUUUGGAGGAAGGAGGGAGGUUUUACUGAUGCUGGGACAACUGAUGAGGAAUAAGAGAGACUUGUAGUGUCCCCGUACCCUGCAGCAAGGAGUCCUGUGGCUUGGCCACAGCUUCGGAGUCCACGACCCACAAGUGUGUUCCACAGCUGGAAGGAGAUGUGCAGACAUGGGGCUGCGGCACAGGUAACUUGUGGGAUGCCAUGUUCCAAAGGGGAUGACGGUCCUGGAAAGCUCCGAGGUUUCAGUUUUGGGUGCCUGGGACUGAAGCAGCACCAGGUGACAAGGACAGGAGGAAGGAACCUGUCGCUCUUGCUAAAGCAGAAAGUGUUGCUGAUGGCAUGUUGCUGUGUAACCCCCCUGGAAUCCUGCAGGACAGACUCCACACUGUUUACCCUGUGUGUAAAUGCUUUGGGUAUGGCCUCAUUCCAGGGAAGGGAUGAAAUGUUUACAGUCCUGUCUCCACAGGAUUCCUUUCUCAGCUGUAACUCCCUGGCAUUAAAUGCUUUGAUCCCAGAGGAUCUUCAGUUACACAUAACUCAAUCAUCCCAUGGAUCCUGCCAGAUGCUGUCUGGUCAAGCAAGUUCAUGUCCAUUUAUUCUUUUUCCACCUCAUGUUUUCAUCCUUCUCUUCAUCCCCUCCCAACAGUCUGUGACCUGCUUGCUUGUGGCUUUCCCAGUUGAGUUGCAUGGAAGUGAUUUGGAUGCUGAAAAACGAAGCAGAUAACAGACAUGAAGCUUGUGCAAGGAAGGGCAGCUCUUUCCUACCCAG